GCCUGGAUGGUGUGGUGGUAUGAACGUUGGACUGUGACACUGGAGACCAGGGUUCAAAUCCCCACCUGGCCA